CUGUUGUACCUAGCUUAAAUAAGAAGUUAAUUGGCCGGUGGUCGUGAGAGAGAUUUAGAUCUCUCCGGUUGAUUGUUUAUUACAUUUUCUGUUUUCUCACCAGU
rnacentral:snoRNA from 1 species